ensembl:lncRNA
AUGAGAGAAGACGUUACUGGAGGGUUGAAUUCAACACUGUCAGAUAACUUCCUGUCUCAUUCACUGGCUCCAGUUACUCUCCUGUGUUGCUUCGAUCAAGUAACUCCAUUACUCACCAUCCUCCACUCUGGUCACCCCAACCGGCAAGUGCAUUACCCGAUUGCAAGGAUUCUCAUUCCCAUUCCAUUUACUACUCAUCCUCUGUCAUAUUCUGCCGGUCUCAAUAAAAUACCAGUUUCCACUAAUCCUCUGUCGCCAGUCCGUUUGUUACAAUCAUAUUUGAUAUAUGAAUUUCUAAGGCCUCUAAAUGAUCAACAUGAUCGCAACAUUGCUGGAAACUUCUUGUACACAAGGUACUACAUGCUUUCUGUCAUCUGAUUGAUAUUUUAUGCUUUUUAACAAGUAAAGUAACAAGUCCACCUUCAGGUUGCGGUACACCUCUUUUUCACUUUACUGUGAAAUACUGUGGACUGAAGCAGCUUACUGUUUAAUGUUAGAAAAUAGCUAAAGCAUUGAAAAUCCCCAUUUCCACCAUCAGGCUAAUAGUUAAGGAGUUUUAGUCAACUGAAGAUGUUACAGAUCUGCCUGGAAGAGGAUGUGUGUCUAUUGGCUCGUUUCCACUGAGUGGUACAGUACAGUACGAUUCAAACAGGACUGGCUUCUAUGGUCAGAUGAAACAAACAAACAAAAAAUAGCUUUUUGGCAGCAAACCCACCAGAAGGGUUUGGUUCAAACAGGGAUAAAAAGUACUCCAUGCCCACAGUUAAAUAUACUGCUGGAUCUUUAAUGUUGUUGGCCUAUUUUUCUGCCGGAGGUCCUUUAUUGAAAGAUCAAAAGGAUAAAUGAUGCAGAUUUAUUUUCACAGCCACAUUUGCUCAUAUUUACCAAAAAAAAAUAAAAGGUUCCCAACUCUAAUUAAAAGCCCUCUCACUCUAUUUUUGCAUUAUUAACAUCAUCAAAAGCAUGCUAUCACAAUCCUCUUCGAUACUGUCUUUAUGCCUGAAGCCAUUUUUACCACACUGAGUGGUAACUGAUAUAAUUAAAUGGUGGCAUACGCUGCAGGACAGACAUUAACAUGACUCACAAAAGAGAGAGAUUUCAAAGAGACACUAGAUUUCAUUGUUUUGUGUUGCACAAACAUGAUGACAGCUAUAGUUGCAGUGUAAUUCCCUGAUGAAUGCCUGACUAAUAAGCUCAAACUAUACAAAGUGUUACUGAGAGAAAGCGAGAGAACAGAGCAGAAACAAGGUUUGUAAAUGCACCAAUCUGACAAAAACAGCACCCUUUCUUUCUUGAUUUUGAAAGUGUGGUGCAACAUCUACUGGCUGCAAAAAGUAUUGCCUAUGGUGAGGUCAGAGGCAGGACAAAAAGGCAAAAAGCUCUACAACCUGCUAACUAUGUUGUCAAAACUGCUAGCCUAAGGAAGUUAAUAUAUUGCAGAUUUAUUUUAAAGAAACCGUUCAUCAUUCACACACCCACAUGCCAUUCCAAACUUGUAUGCAUUUCUUUCUUCGGCUGAACACAAAGAAAGAUAUUUUGAAGAAUGUGGGUAACCAAACUGGUAUUGGUUUUGUUGACUUCCAUAUAUUUUUUGUCCAUAUUAUGGAAGUCAAUUGCACCCGAAACCAUUUGGUUAAUAACAUUCUUCAAAAUAUCUUCUUUUGUGUUCCACUGAAAACUAAAACAAACAAAUAAAAAAAGUCAUCAGGUCGGAACCAGUGUUCUUUUAGUAUCACUGAGAUACUAUUGUAGUUUUUAUUAAUAUGUUGAAUUUGUCAUCAGUAAUUGAAUUAGUUUUAUUAUCUUUUUAUUUUCCUAAUUUCAUUUUUUAAAAAAAAUAUUUUUAUUAUUUAAAUAAUAUUUUAGUAUUAUUAUUUAUUAUUAUUUUAUUAAUGUUUAUUAUUAUUAAUUUUAUUAUUUAGUUUUAAUGGUAUUGGUAUUAAAUUAAACUAAAAGAAAAUGAGAAAUGUUGUCUUGUUGACAGUUGAAA